rnacentral:rRNA from 1 species
AAAAGAAGAGUGGCGAACGGGUGAGUAACACGUGGGUAACCUGCCCAUCAGAAGGGGAUAACACUUGGAAACAGGUGCUAAUACCGUAUAACAAUCGAAACCGCAUGGUUUUGAUUUGAAAGGCGCUUUCUGGUGUCGCUGAUGGAUGGACCCGCGGUGCAUUAGCUAGUUGGUGAGGUAACGGCUCACCAAGGCCACGAUGCAUAGCCGACCUGAGAGGGUGAUCGGCCACAUUGGGACUGAGACACGGCCCAAACUCCUACGGGAGGCAGCAGUAGGGAAUCUUCGGCAAUGGACGAAAGUCUGACCGAGCAACGCCGCGUGAGUGAAGAAGGUUUUCGGAUCGUAAAACUCUGUUGUUAGAGAAGAACAAGGAUGAGAGUAACUGUUCAUCCCUUGACGGUAUCUAACCAGAAAGCCACGGCUAACUACGUGCCAGCAGCCGCGGUAAUACGUAGGUGGCAAGCGUUGUCCGGAUUUAUUGGGCGUAAAGCGAGCGCAGGCGGUUUCUUAAGUCUGAUGUGAAAGCCCCCGGCUCAACCGGGGAGGGUCAUUGGAAACUGGGAGACUUGAGUGCAGAAGAGGAGAGUGGAAUUCCAUGUGUAGCGGUGAAAUGCGUAGAUAUAUGGAGGAACACCAGUGGCGAAGGCGGCUCUCUGGUCUGUAACUGACGCUGAGGCUCGAAAGCGUGGGGAGCAAACAGGAUUAGAUACCCUGGUAGUCCACGCCGUAAACGAUAAGUGCUAAGUGUUGGAGGGUUUCCGCCCUUCAGUGCUGCAGCU